rnacentral:rRNA from 1 species
CAGGCCUAACACAUGCAAGUCGAACGAGAAAGCACCUUCGGGUGCGAGUACAGUGGCGGACGGGUGAGUAACGCGUAGGAAUCUACCUAGUAGUGGGGGACAACUCGGGGAAACUCGAGCUAAUACCGCAUACGAUCCUUUUUCUUAGGAAGGGGGAUGAAAGUGGGGGAUCUUCGGACCUCACGCUAUUAGAGGAGCCUGCGUUGGAUUAGCUUGUUGGUAGGGUAACGGCCUACCAAGGCUACGAUCCAUAGCUGGUCUGAGAGGACGAUCAGCCACACUGGAACUGAGACACGGUCCAGACUCCUACGGGAGGCAGCAGUGGGGAAUCUUGGGCAAUGGGCGCAAGCCUGACCCAGCCAUGCCGCGUGUGUGAAGAAGGCCUUCGGGUUGUAAAGCACUUUCAGCAGUGAAGAAAUAUCGGGAGUUAAUAACUCCACGGUCUUGACGUUAACUGCAGAAGAAGCACCGGCUAACUCCGUGCCAGCAGCCGCGGUAAUACGGAGGGUGCAAACGUUAAUCGGAAUUACUGGGCGUAAAGCGCGCGUAGGCGGUCUGAUAAGUGGGGUGUGAAAGCCCAGGGCUUAACCUUGGAACUGCAUUCCAAACUGUCAGGCUAGAGUAUGGUAGAGGGAGGUAGAAUUUCCUGUGUAGCGGUGAAAUGCGUAGAUAUAGGAAGGAAUACCGAUGGCGAAGGCAGCCUCCUGGACCAAUACUGACGCUGAGGUGCGAAAGCGUGGGGAGCAAACA